rnacentral:piRNA from 1 species
AACAAACAAAGCAGUUAGCCGGCCUAGACA